rnacentral:rRNA from 1 species
AACGAACGCUGGCGGCAUGCCUAACACAUGCAAGUCGAACGAGACCUUCGGGUCUAGUGGCGCACGGGUGCGUAACGCGUGGGAACCUGCCCUUAGGUUCGGAAUAACUCCCCGAAAGGGGUGCUAAUACCGGAUAAUGUCUUCGGACCAAAGAUUUAUCGCCUUUGGAUGGGCCCGCGUUGGAUUAGCUAGUUGGUAGGGUAAAAGCCUACCAAGGCGACGAUCCAUAGCUGGUCUGAGAGGAGGAUCAGCCACACUGGGAGUGAGACACGGCCCAGACUCCUACGCGAGGCAGCAGUGGGGAAUAGUGGACAAUGGGCGAAAGCCUGAUCCAGCACUGCCGCGUGAGUGAUGAAGGCCUUAGGGUUGUAAAGCUCUUUUACCCGGGAUGAUAAUGACAGUACCGGGAGAAUAAGCUCCGGCUAACUCCGUG